rnacentral:rRNA from 1 species
AUUGAACGCUGGCGGCAGGCCUAACACAUGCAAGUCGAACGAGUGGCGGACGGGUGAGUAAUGUCUGGGAAACUGCCUGAUGGAGGGGGAUAACUACUGGAAACGGUAGCUAAUACCGCAUACCAUCGGAUGUGCCCAGAUGGGAUUAGCUAGUAGGUGGGGUAAAGGCUCACCUAGGCGACGAUCCAUAGCUGGUGUGAGAGGAUGACCAGCGACACGGGAACUGAGACAGGGUCCAGAAUCCGACGGGAGGCAGAAGUGGGGAAUAUGGCAAAAUGGGCGCAAGCCUGAUGCAGCAAUGACGCGUGUAUGAAGAAGGCAUUCGGGUUGUAAAGUACUUUCAGCGGGGAGGCGUUACCCGCAGAAGAAGCACCGGCUAACUCCGUGCCAGCAGCCGCGGUAAUAC